AGCGAACGCUGGCGGCAGCCCUAACACAUGCAAGUCGAACGGAUCCUUCGGGAUUAGUGGCGGACGGGUGAGUAACACGUGGGAACGUGCCCUUUGGUUCGGAACAACUCAGGGAAACUUGAGCUAAUACCGGAUGUGCCCUUCGGGGGAAAGAUUUAUCGCCAUUGGAGCGGCCCGCGUCUGAUUAGCUAGUUGGUGAGGUAAAGGCUCACCAAGGCGACGAUCAGUAGCUAGUCUGAGAGGAUGAUCAGCCACAUUGGGACUGAGACACGGCCCAAACUCCUACGGGAGGCAGCAGUGGGGAAUCUUGCGCAAUGGGCGAAAGCCUGACGCAGCCAUGCCGCGUGAAUGAUGAAGGUCUUAGGAUUGUAAAAUUCUUUCACCGGGGACGAUAAUGACGGUACCCGGAGAAGAAGCCCCGGCUAACUUCGUGCCAGCCGCCGCAGUAAUAC
rnacentral:rRNA from 1 species